rnacentral:tRNA from 1 species
GUUCUCGUAGUUGAAUUACAACGGUGUUUUUUCAAGUCAUAGGUCUUGGUUAGAAUCCAGGCGGGAAUU